rnacentral:rRNA from 1 species
AGUUUGUACAGGAUAGGUAGGAGCCUUAGAAGCGUGAGCGCUAGCUUACGUGGAGGCAUUGGUGGGAUACUACCCUAAUUGUAUUGGAUUUCUAACCCGCAGCACUUAUCGUGCUGGGAGACAGUGUCAGGCGGGCAGUUUGACUGGGGCGGUCGCCUCCUAAAGAGUAACGGAGGCGCUCAAAGGUUCCCUCAGAAUGGUUGGAAAUCAUUCAUAGAGUGUAAAGGCAUAAGGGAGCUUGACUGCGAGACCUACAAGUCGAGCAGGGUCGAAAGACGGACUUAGUGAUCCGGUGGUUCCGCAUGGAAGGGCCAUCGCUCAACGGAUAAAAGCUACCCCGGGGAUAACAGGCUUAUCUCCCCCAAGAGUUCACAUCGACGGGGAGGUUUGGCACCUCGAUGUCGGCUCAUCGCAUCCUGGGGCUGUAGUCGGUCCCAAGGGUUGGGCUGUUCGCCCAUUAAAGCGGUACGCGAGCUGGGUUCAGAACGUCGUGAGACAGUUCGGUCCCUAUCCGUCGUGGGCGUAGGAAAUUUGAGAGGAGCUGUCCUUAGUACGAGAGGACCGGGAUGGACAUACCUCUGGUGUACCAGUUGUCGUGCCAACGGCAUAGCUGGGUAGCUAUGUAUGGACGGGAUAAGUGCUGAAAGCAUCUAAGCAUGAAGCCCCCCUCGAGAUGAGAUUUCCCAACUUC